rnacentral:rRNA from 1 species
CCUACGGGUGGCAGCAGUGAGGAAUAUUGGUCAAUGGGCGCUAGCCUGAACCAGCCAAGCAGCGUGAAGGAUGACUGCCCUAUGGGUUGUAAACUUCUUUUAUAUGGGAAUAAAGUGCAGUAUGUAUACUGCUUUGCAUGUACCUUAUGAAUAAGGAUUGGCUAACUCCGUGCCAGCAGCCGCGGUAAUACGGAGGAUCCGAGCGUUAUCCGGAUUUAUUGGGUUUAAAGGGAGCGUAGGCGGGUUGUUAAGUCAGUUGUGAAAGUUUGCGGCUGAACCGUAAAAUUGCAGUUGAUACUGGCAGCCUUGAGUACAGUAGAGGUAGGCGGAAUUCGUGGUGUAGCGGUGAAAUGCUUAGAUAUCACGAAGAACUCCGAUUGCGAAGGCAGCCUGCUGGACUGUAACUGACGCUGAUGCUCGAAAGUGUGGGUAUCAAACAGGAUUAGAUACCCUAGUAGUC